CCUCUGAGAGGUUUCACCUAGCAGCUGACUCAGACAGAUGCAGAGACCCACAGUGAAACUGUGGAUGGCGCUUGGGGACACUUAUGGAAGAAGGGGAGAGGAUUGCAAGCCCCAAAGGGGGACAAUAUCUUUACACUAAGAGUCUGAAUGACUAUAAGCCGGCCAUGCCUGAUUAAUGCUAGGACAUACAUCAUAAAUCAAAAAGG
rnacentral:lncRNA from 1 species